rnacentral:rRNA from 1 species
ACAAGCAGCGGAGUCGUGUGGUUUAAUUCGUUGCUACACGAAGAACUUACCUGGGUUUGACAUAUAGGUUGUAGGGAACUGAAAGGGACGACCCUUCGGGGAGCCUAUACAGGUGUUGCAUGGCUGUCGUCAGCUCGUGUCGUGAGAUGUUCGGUUAAGUCCGCUAACGAGCGCAACCCUCGUCGUAUGUUAUAUGUGUCAUACGAGACUGCCGGUAAAAGCCGGAGGAAGGUGAGGAUGAUGUCAAGUCAGCAUGACCUUUAUAUCCAGGGCUACACACACGCUACAAUGGUCUGUACAAUGGGUAGCCAAGCCGCGAGGCGGAGCCAAUCCUGAAAGCAGGCCUCAGUUCAGAUUGCAGUCUGCAACUCGACUGCAUGAAGCCGGAGUUGCUAGUAACCGCAGGUCAGCAAUACUGCGGUGAAUACGUUCCCGGGUCUU